rnacentral:lncRNA from 1 species
UUUUUUUCUCUCUCUUCCUCCUUCCCCCAUUUUCCUCAGCAGAUUCAACCUUCCUGAAAAUCAUAUUCUCUCUCAGCCGACCGUCUUCCUCUCCUCUAUCAGCCACCCUUCCCCCGUGUUCAUCUCCUCUCUCAGCCAGUCAUCCUUCCUCCUUCUUCAUCUCCUCUCUCAGCUGGUCAUCUUCCUCUCUCUCAGCCGUGGGUCUUCCCCUCGCU